rnacentral:rRNA from 1 species
UACGUAGGGUGCAAGCGUUGCCCGGAUUUAUUGGGCGUACAGGGCGCGUAGGCGGCUCUGCACGUUCGUUGUGAAAUCGCCCGGCUCAACUGGGCGGGGUCAGCGGAUACGGCAGAGCUUGAGCAAGCUAGGGGGCAAUGGAAUUCCCGGUGUAGUGGUGGAAUGCGUAGAUAUCGGGAGGAACACCAGUGGCGAAGGCGGUUCUCUGGGCCUUACCUGACGCUGAGGAGCGAAAGCGUGGGGAGCAAACAGG